UGGGCAUUAACAGCUGCAGAAAAUGCAGCUGCACCAUUGCAUCACUCCCAGUGCUCCCUGCUGUGGAAGCUUUUGUUCUCUGGGUGAGGACACCAGGCUGCUCCUCGUGUACAGCAAAAGCUCUGGGGGCAGUGGGAGCUGCAAAUUCCCCAUGCAGCUCCUUAAGUUGCACUUGUGCUGCUCUAAUCUCCCUCUGGAAUGGUGCAUUUGGGCAGGAAAAUGGGGAUGAGCUCCUGGAUGAGCUGAAUUCUCUGCUGAGCUGCUGCUGUGAGCGUGUGCAGCCUUUCCUGGGGCCGGGUUCAGAAGGCAGAGUGUGCAGCUCUUUGCAUCUGAAAGGAACUUCCUUGGUGGGGAGGAAGCAGCUGGGAUCAGGAUUUACCCUGACCUCUGUCAGAUGGUAAUUCCAAUCUGGGAUUCUGAAGGAAAACAAAUUUCCAGGAGGUGGAAGCACCCAGAGGCAGAAGAUGCACUCGCUGGGAAUACCAGGUUUGGUGCCAGGGUGCCACUGAAUGUCCCCAAAUUAUCACAUUUGGUUCCAGGUGCCACUGAAUGUCCCCAGAUUAUCCC